CAGAGGGUGCGAGCGUUAAUCGGAAUUACUGGGCGUAAAGCGCGCGUAGGCGGCUUUGCAAGUCGGGUGUGAAAUCCCCAGGCUUAACCUGGGAACUGCAUUCGAGACUGCAUUGCUAGAGUAUGGGAGAGGGAAGUGGAAUUUCCGGUGUAGCGGUGAAAUGCGUAGAUAUCGGAAGGAACAUCAGUGGCGAAAGCGACUUCCUGGACCAAUACUGACGCUCAUGUGCGAAAGCGUGGGGAGCAAAACAGGAUUAGAUACCCUGGUAGUCCACGCCACAAACGAUGACAACUGGAUGUCGGGAGGGUCUGCCUCUCGGUGUCGUAGCUAACGCGUUAAGUUGUCCGCCUGGGGAGUACGGCCGCAAGGUUG
rnacentral:rRNA from 1 species